AACUUUCAACAACGGAUCUCUUGGUUCUGGCAUCGAUGAAGAACGCAGCGAAAUGCGAUAAGUAGUGUGAAUUGCAGAAUUCAGUGAAUCAUCGAAUCUUUGAACGCACAUUGCGCCCCUUGGUAUCCCGAGGGGCAUGCCUGUUCGAGCGUCAUUUCA
rnacentral:rRNA from 1 species